AUUGAACGCUGGCGGCAGGCCUAACACAUGCAAGUCGAGCGAGUGGCGGACGGGUGAGUAAUGUCUGGGGAUCUGCCCGAUGGAGGGGGAUAACUACUGGAAACGGUAGCUAAUACCGCAUACUAUCAGAUGAACCCAUAUGGGAUUAGCUAGUAGGUGGGGUAACGGCUCACCUAGGCGACGAUCUCUAGCUGGUCUGAGAGGAUGACCAGCCACACUGGGACUGAGACACGGCCCAGACUCCUACGGGAGGCAGCAGUGGGGAAUAUUGCACAAUGGGCGCAAGCCUGAUGCAGCCAUGCCGCGUGUAUGAAGAAGGCCUUAGGGUUGUAAAGUACUUUCAGCGGGGAGGCGUUACCCGCAGAAGAAGCACCGGCUAACUCCGUGCCAGCAGCCGCGGUAAUAC
rnacentral:rRNA from 1 species